rnacentral:rRNA from 1 species
UACGAAGGGGGCUAGCGUUGCUCGGAAUCACUGGGCGUAAAGGGUGCGUAGGCGGGUCUUUUAAGUCAGGGGUGAAAUCCUGGAGCUCAACUCCAGAACUGCCUUUGAUACUGAAGAUCUUGAGUUCGGGAGAGGUGAGUGGAACUGCGAGUGUAGAGGUGAAAUUCGUAGAUAUUCGCAAGAACACCAGUGGCGAAGGCGGCUCACUGGCCCGAUACUGACGCUGAGGAGCGAAAGCAUGGGGAGCGAACAGG